GAUGAACGCUAGCGGCAGGCCUAACACAUGCAAGUCGAGGGGUAGAACACUUCGGUGUUUGAGACCGGCGCACGGGUGCGUAACGCGUAUGCAAUCUACCUUAUACAGGGGAAUAGCCCAGAGAAAUUUGGAUUAAUGCCCCAUAGCAUUACGACUUGGCAUCAAGAUGUAAUUAAAGUUCCAACGGUAUAAGAUGAGCAUGCGUCCCAUUAGUUAGUUGGUAAGGUAACGGCUUACCAAGACAAUGAUGGGUAGGGGUCCUGAGAGGGAGAUCCACCACACUGGUACUGAGACACGGACCAGACUCCUACGGGAGGCAGCAGUGAGGAAUAUUGGUCAAUGGGCGCAAGCCUGAACCAGCCAUGCCGCGUGCAGGAAGACGGUCCUAUGGAUUGUAAACUGCUUUUAUACAGGAAGAAACAUCCCGACGUGUCGGGACUUGACGGUACUGUAGGAAUAAGGAUCGGCUAACUCCGUGCCAGCAGCCGCGGUAA
rnacentral:rRNA from 1 species